UUGCUCCACGGAUUAGUGGCGAACGGGUGAGGAACACGUGAGAAACCUGCCUCGGAUUUUGGGAUAACAAAUGGAAACGUUUGCUAAUACCAAAUAACGUCGGAGAGUCACAUGACUUUCUGACGAAAGGAAUUCCGAUUCGAGAGGGUCUCGCGGCCUAUCAGCUUGUUGGCGGGGUAAUGGCCCACCAAGGCAACGACGGGUAGCUGGUCUGAGAGGAUGGUCAGCCACACUGGGACUGAGACACGGCCCAGACUCCUACGGGAGGCAGCAGUGGGGAAUCUUGCGCAAUGGGCGAAAGCCUGACGCAGCAACGCCGCGUGCGGGAAGAAGGCUUUCGGGCUGUAAACCGCUUUCAGCAGGAACGAAAAUGACGGUACCUGCAGAAGAAGGAGCGGCCAACUAUGUGCCAGCAGCCGCGGUGAUACAUAGGCUUCAAGCGUUGUCCGGAUUUAUUGGGCGUAAAGAGUUCGUAGGCGGUCGAGUAAGUCGGGUGUGAAAAUUCUGGGCUCAACCCAGAGACGCCACCCGAUACUGCUUAACUUGAGUUCGAUAGGGGAGUGGGGAAUUCCUAGUGUAGCGGUGAAAUGCGCAGAUAUUAGGAGGAACACCGGUGGCGAAGGCGCCACUCUGGAUCGACACUGACGCUGAGGAACGAAAGCAUGGGUAGCAAACAGGAUUAGAUACCCUGGUAGUCCAUGCGGUAAACGGUGGGCACUAGGUGUGGGUUUCUAUUAACGAAAUCCGCGCCGUCGCUAACGCAUUAAGUGCCCCGCCUGGGGAGUACGGU
rnacentral:rRNA from 1 species